rnacentral:tRNA from 1 species
ACAUCCGUAGUCUAACUGGAUAAAACCAUGGCCUCCGACGCCAUAGUUGUGAGUUCGAGCCUCGCCGGGUGUACCA